AGUGUAAUUGCUGGGAUGUAUGGUAAGUUCAUUUUUUGAUUUUAAAGGAACUGCCAAACUAUUUUCCAGAGUGUCUAUGCCAUUUUACAUUCCCACCAGCUGU
rnacentral:pre_miRNA from 1 species